AAUAAUUUAGAGCAAAGAAAAGUUUUAGCAUAUUUUGGCUAUUCCAACCCAAUUGUAGCUCAUAUUUUAACAGACAAAGACCUGCAGACUGAUGGAAAACUUCUUCAUGCUGAAGUUAUCAAACAUGACAUCAAUGUCGUAAAAGACUUAGUUAAUCCAGACACAUUUUAAAAACUUCAGAAAAAUGUGCUACAUCUUAAACAAAGUUGGAGUUGUUUGAGUUGUAACAAACCACAAUUUGAAGACAUGAUUGAGUGUGAAGAUUGUUUGACUUGGUACCACUGGAAAUGUAUUUCUCCGGGUAAAGUUAUUACAGAUAAGUGCUGGAUUUGUAGUGAAUGUGACACCAAAAAGUUUUGUAAGCAAGUUACAGACUCUUAACUAUGAAAACAGAGAUCGCAGUUAACAAACUUCUUUUUACAUAAUAUAUACCGUGGUAUCAGCACGACUAUAUACAUAAUUGUUUAAAACUUCUAGAACAUCUUAUCAAAUGAUAAAUUAAGGGCAUUAAUUGAGUCUAAUUUGAACAAUUUGUUAUGUGUCUUUCUUAGAUAUUUAACACUCAGCAUGCGCUUUUUAUUUUACUGAAAUGGCAUGAAUACUUACACAAAGGAGAUAUUAUUGGUUUUAUACAAGGCCGGCACGAUGGAAAAGGAGGGUUCAUUAAGUCGGCAAAUUAACUUCCAAUGGCGACAUUGUGUUUCCUAACAAUUCUAAAUUUUUCUGCAACUAAUUUUAUUAUAUCAAAAGUUGCAUAUUUUGCUAUUCUUGCAUUUACAUUUCUUUUAUGUUGAUUACUGUUGUGUUUGUGCUUUAUUCGACGUCUUUGAUAAUUAGUUCAGUUUUAAACAUUAUCCUCAUUUAAUAGUUUUAACAAUAUAUAUGCCACUGCCAUACUAGAUUCGAAAAAUUUCAAAAAUUUUUUAAACCGCAGUCAUUAAAACGUUUUAAAAUAUUCACAAAAUACGACGUCGUUUGGUUGCAAAAAUUCAUUUUGCCGCAAAAUAUUCUAUUGGAGUAUAAAUC